rnacentral:rRNA from 1 species
UGAACUUCGGUUUGGGUGGCGGACGGGUGAGUAACGCGUAAAGAACUUGCCUCACAGUUAGGGACAACAUUUGGAAACGAAUGCUAAUACCUGAUAUUAUGAUUUUAGGGCAUCCUAAGAUUAUGAAAGCUAUAUGUGCUGUGAGAGAGCUUUGCGUCCCAUUAGCUAGUUGGAGAGGUAACGGCUCACCAAGGCGAUGAUGGGUAGCCGGCCUGAGAGGGUGAACGGCCACAAGGGGACUGAGACACGGCCCUUACUCCUACGGGAGGCAGCAGUGGGGAAUAUUGGACAAUGGACCAAAAGUCUGAUCCAGCAAUUCUGUGUGCACGAUGACGUUUUUCGGAAUGUAAAGUGCUUUCAGUUGGGAAGAAAAAAAUGACGGUACCAACAGAAGAAGUGACGGCUAAAUACGUGCCAGCAGCCGCGGUAAUACGUAUGUCACAAGCGUUAUCCGGAUUUAUUGGGCGUAAAGCGCGUCUAGGUGGUUAUGUAAGUCUGAUGUGAAAAUGCAGGGCUCAACUCUGUAUUGCGUUGGAAACUGUAUGACUAGAGUACUGGAGAGGUAAGCGGAACUACAAGUGUAGAGGUGAAAUUCGUAGAUAUUUGUAGGAAUGCCGAUGGGGAAGCCAGCUUACUGGACAGAUACUGACGCUAAAGCGCGAAAGCGCGGGUAGCAAACAGGAUUAGAUACCCUGGUAGUCCACGCCGUAAACGAUGAUUACUAGGUGUUGGGGGUCGAACCUCAGCGCCCAAG